GACGAACGCUGGCGGCGUGCCUAAUACAUGCAAGUCGAACGCAGUGGGGAAGGGGGAGUAACACGUGGGUAACCUCCCCAUAAGAGGGGCUAACACUCGGAAACAGGUGCUAAACCGAUACCGGAGGAUGGACCCGCGGUGCAUUAGCUAGUUGGGGAGGUAACGGCUCACCAAGGCCACGAUGCAUAGACGGCCUGAGAGGGUGAUCGGCCACACUGGGACUGGGACACGGCCCAGACUCCUACGGGAGGCAGCAGGAGGGAAUCUGCGGCAAUGGACGAAAGUCUGACCGAGCAACGCCGCGUGAGUGAAGAAGGUUUUCGGGUCGUAAAACUCUGUUGUUAGAGAAGCGGUAUCUAACCAGAAAGCCACGGCUAACUACGUGCCAGCAGCCGCGGUAAUAC
rnacentral:rRNA from 1 species